AGUGAACGCUGGCGGUAGGCCUAAUACAUGCAAGUCGAACGGCAGCACAGUAAGAGCUCGCUUCUACGGGUGGCGACUGGCGGACGGGUGACGCAUACAUAGGCAUCUACUUUUUCGUGGGUGAUUACGUAGGGACACUUACGCUACUACCGCAUAUGUCCUACGGCUGAAAGCAGUAGAUCUUCGCACCUUGCGCGUCACUUUGAGAUGAUGUCGGAUUAGCUAGUUGGCGUGGUAAAGGCUCACCAAGGCGACGAUGCGUAGCUGGUCUGAGAGGAUGAUCAGCCACACUGGAACUGAGACACGGUCCAGACUCCUACGGGAGGCAGCAGUGGGGAAUAUUGGACAAUGGGCGCAAGCCUGAUCCAGCCAUGCCGCGUGAGUGAAGAAGGCCUUCGGGUUGUAAAGCCCUUUUAUUGGGGAAGAAAAGCUGCGGAUUAAUGCCUGGCUGUUCUGACGGUACCUAAAGAGUAAGCACCGGCUAACUUCGUG
rnacentral:rRNA from 1 species